UGGAGCAUGUGGUUUAAUUCGACGCAACGCGAAGAACCUUACCUGGGCUAGACAACGGUGGACUCCCCCAGAGAUGGGGAUUCCCUUCGGGGACUGCCGGAUCACGGUGCUGCAUGGCUGUCGUCAGCUCGUGUCGUGAGAUGUUGGGUUAAGUCCCGCAACGAGCGCAACCCCCGCCUUUAGUUGCUACCAUUCAGUUGAGCACUCUAAAGGGACCGCCGGCGUUAAGCCGGAGGAAGUGGGGAUGACGUCAAGUCCUCAUGGCCCUUAUGUCCAGGGCUACACACGUGCUACAAUGGGCGGUACAGAGGGUUGCCAACCCGCGAGGGGGAGCCAAUCCCAGAAAGCCGUCCUCAGUUCAGAUUGGAGUCUGCAACUCGACUCCAUGAAGGUGGAAUCGCUAGUAAUCGCGGAUCAGCACGCCGCGGUGAAUACGUUCCCGGGCCUU
rnacentral:rRNA from 1 species